CUGUCUCCCAGGCCUGAGCCUUGCAGGGAUUGUUCCCCCUGUCAAGGUCUCAUAACUAGGCUGCAUUCCCUUUGUGACCUCAGUUUACCCAUUUGUGAAAUAAGAGGGUUGGACAAGGUGACCUGUUGGAGGCUUCCAGAACUCAGCCCCCAAGACUGUGGUGCUAAACACAUUGGGAAGCUCACAGUGUUCCCCAGGGAAUGGGGUCCAGUAGAUUCAGGGUAAAUGUGCUCUUUUAAGACAAGCACAUUAAGACAAAGCUUCCAUCGAGUGGCUUCUUCAGAAACCUGCCUGGCGCUUUAUUCUGGAGGAACGCAAUUGAAGCUUGUUUGUGAAAAUAUAAUUCACUUAUUUCUUUGUAUUUAGGAACUUGAGUUAAAAAAUAUAUAAAUAUGUAUUUCUGAGUGUAUUGAGCUUUUUAAAAAAUGAAGGUUUCAAGGUUCUGAAAACUAAACUGAUUCUACCAGAAUGGGGUAGAAAAUCUUCCACUGACAGUUUCUGAACUCGCAGGAACAGCGUUGCGAUGUGGAGGAGAAAAGGGAUCCAACUUUUCUUCCGGGGAUUAAAAUGACAGAGAUUUGACUCAAACUAGCUUGAGCAAAACCACAAUGAGUUGGCUCCUACAGCUGGGAAGAGAGAGCUGCCAGGUUUUCUUCAAAGGAUCCCAGUGAUGACCUCUGGUGCCCUGAGUCCACAUCCUUAUGGCUUGUGAUCAAAGAGAAGAGAAGCUCCUUUCUCCAGCUUCCGCCUAAUAAAUCUUGUGAAGUCGCUGAUGGA
rnacentral:lncRNA from 1 species